rnacentral:rRNA from 1 species
GAUGAACGCUGGCGGCGUGCCUAAUACAUGCAAGUCGAGCGAACAGACGAGGAGCUUGCUCCUCUGACGUUAGCGGCGGACGGGUGAGUAACACGUGGAUAACCUACCUAUAAGACUGGGAUAACUUCGGGAAACCGGAGCUAAUACCGGAUAAUAUUUUGAACCGCAUGGUUCAAUAGUGAAAGACGGUCUUGCUGUCACUUAUAGAUGGAUCCGCGCUGCAUUAGCUAGUUGGUAAGGUAACGGCUUACCAAGGCAACGAUGCGUAGCCGACCUGAGAGGGUGAUCGGCCACACUGGAACUGAGACACGGUCCAGACUCCUACGGGAGGCAGCAGUAGGGAAUCUUCCGCAAUGGGCGAAAGCUUGACGGAGCAACGCCGCGUGAGUGAUGAAGGUCUUCGGAUCGUAAAACUCUGUUAUUAGGGAAGAACAAAUGUGUAAGUAACUAUGCACAUCUUGACGGUACCUAAUCAGAAAGCCACGGCUAACUACGUG